CCCUUAGAUGUUCUGGGCCGCACGCGCGCUACACUGACGAAUGCAACGAGCUUAUAACCUUGGCCGAAAGGUCUGGGUAAUCUCCAAAUUUCGUCGUGAUGGGGAUAGAUUAUUGCAAUUAUUAAUCUUCAACGAGGAAUGCCUAGUAAGCGCAAGUCAUCAGCUUGCGUUGAUUACGUCCCUGCCCUUUGUACACACCGCCCGUCGCUCCUACCGAUUGAAUGGUCCGGUGAAGCGUUUGGACCGUGGCCUUUGGACGGUUCGCCGUCUGUUGGCUGCGGGAAGUUCGUUAAACCUUAUCAUUUAGAGGAAGGAGAAGUCGUANCA
rnacentral:rRNA from 1 species